rnacentral:rRNA from 2 species
GAGUUUGAUCAUGGCUCAGAUUGAACGCUGGCGGCAGGCCUAACACAUGCAAGUCGAGCGGAUGACGGGAGCUUGCUCCUUGAUUCAGCGGCGGACGGGUGAGUAAUGCCUAGGAAUCUGCCUGGUAGUGGGGGACAACGUUUCGAAAGGAACGCUAAUACCGCAUACGUCCUACGGGAGAAAGCAGGGGACCUUCGGGCCUUGCGCUAUCAGAUGAGCCUAGGUCGGAUUAGCUAGUUGGUGGGGUAAUGGCUCACCAAGGCGACGAUCCGUAACUGGUCUGAGAGGAUGAUCAGUCACACUGGAACUGAGACACGGUCCAGACUCCUACGGGAGGCAGCAGUGGGGGAAUAUUGGACAAUGGGCGAAAGCCUGAUCCAGCCAUGCCGCGUGUGUGAAGAAGGUCUUCGGAUUGUAAAGCACUUUAAGUUGGGAGGAAGGGCAGUAAGUUAAUACCUUGCUGUUUUGACGUUACCGACAGAAUAAGCACCGGCUAACUCUGUGCCAGCA